rnacentral:pre_miRNA from 1 species
AUAUGAAUCACCUGGAGAACUUGUUAAAAGGAAGGUGAGAUUUAGUAGACUUAUAGUUGGUUCUUGGCCUCUGGGUUUCUAACAAGUUCCCCAGUGAUACACUU